rnacentral:misc_RNA from 1 species
CUUUCUGACGAUUCAUAAACUGUGAAUAACGUCGAAGUCCGGCAACUGUCAAAUGACAUUCGCAUUUCUAAGGUUACUACUUUGAUUUUGAAAUGGCAGCAGAAAUAAAACCUACAACCGGAAGGAAUCAUGAUAAGUUUAGUUCCAGUCGCAAGCCCGUACUUUUGUCAAAAUUAGAAGGAUGUAACGACGAUGUUAACGCGGCUAUUAUCAUCCCGCGGGAAGACGGGGUAAUUAGCGUUUGCGAUGACAGAACUGUUAGAGUAUGGCUAAAACGAGACUCUGGGCAAUAUUGGCCAAGUGUUUGUCAGUACAUGCCUGUUGGUGCUACUUCUAUGCAUUAUUCCGUAGAAACGCGCCAAUUGUUUGUUGGACUUGAAAAUGGAAGUAUAAAUGAAUUUCUUUUGGAACAAGAUUAUAAUCGUAUGACUGGUAUGCGUGAAUAUUUAGCUCAUCAAGCAAGAGUUUCUGGAGUUAUAUACGCUCCUAAUUGCGAAUGGGUAUUGAGCAUAGGUCGUGAUAAGUUAUUUCAAUUACACUGUUCCAAUACCGGAAGGAAAUUAGGAUCGUAUCAAACGGAUGCAUGGUACACCGCUCUACAAUUUGAUGCUCAAUCUAAACACGCUUUUGUGGGAGAUUAUUCUGGACAAAUAGCAAUGCUAAAAUUGGAUGCUAACGGUGUUACAUUCAUUACUAUGCUGAAAGCUCAUACUGGAAGUAUUCAUACUUUAGCAUGGGACUCGGAGAAGCAGCUUUUGUUUUCUGGGAGUUUUGAUCAAAGUAUUAUAGUGUGGGAUAUCGGAGGACGUCAAGGCACAGCAUAUGAACUUCAAGGCCAUCACAACAAAGUAACAGCACUUUGUUAUGCGAGCACGGAACGUAUAUUAAUAUCCGGAGGAGAAGAUGCCGUAAUUGUUUGUUGGGAUAUGGCUGCAAAUAGGAGAGAAACUGCACCUUGGGUUGAAUCUGACACGUGUCAAGCUUGCGGUAGGCCAUUUUUCUGGAAUAUAAAAGCAAUGAUGGAUCAGCGUCAAAUAGGGCUAAGACAGCAUCAUUGUCGUCAUUGCGGACGUGCUCUGUGCGCUCGUUGCACCUCUCAAAGGACACCGAUCCCAUCCAUGGGAUUUGAGUUUGAAGUUCGAGUGUGCGAUCCAUGCCAUAUUCAACUUAAAGCUGCCAACCAAACAUCUCUCGCAUCGUUUCACGACGCGAAACAUAGUAUUAUUGGAAUGGAUUUAGAUGCUCCACGUCGAAGAUUACUGACCAUCGGUCAGGACCGCUUAAUUAAAAUAUGGGAUAUUUCUGCACUGCUUCAGUGAACUUGCAAGUAUAUAUGCUUUUUCCAAACAAAUCAAAUUAUAUGAUACGGAAAAACUGUUAUCACCUUUAAACCAUGUUCAAAAAUGUGCUAUCCACAGCGUAUUUUUGUGAUUAUGUUAUUAUUUCUAAUUACAAUUUCACCACAUAUACUUUGUGUAAUGUAGAUUUUUCUUUAUGGAAAUAAUGAAAUAAUAUUGCAAACUUAAUUACACAAAGUAGAAUUGUAAUGAUAGUUUUUAAAAAUUCAAGUCAUCGAUACUUCUUUGCACCAAAUACUCAUGUAUUCCUUGUAUAUUUAUAAAACAAGCAGCAAUAGAUGUGAAUAUAUUUUCUCAUAUAAAGUAGAGGGACUCGAUGCAAUUAAUUGGAAAAGAAAAGACUAAAAUUAUAAACGAUCUAUCUAUUUUUGGGAUAAUGAUAAAGUUAUUUUCAAGAAACAAUACUUUAAUACCUCAGGUAAAAUAUGAUGAUGCCGAGGUACACAUGGCACAACCGAAAUGGAAAAGAGAAAAGUGGGAGGAGAGGCAGACAAAUAUAGACAGAAAGUACAUAUCCUCCAGCAAUGUACCUUACCAAUAUAUAAACUGUAAAAUAUGGCUAUAUCAUACGUAUUUUGUUGUUGAUCGGUUUAGAAAAUAUAUUUCAUAUAUUUUAUGUGGAGGUAAAGCAUAUGUAUCCUUCUAUUGUAUCUAUAUCUAUC